ensembl:lncRNA
GUUUUUUUUCAUGACGACCAAUAAAAAAACAACAGUGUUACCCCUUAUGUGUUUUUCAUGACGACCAAUAAAAACGACAGUUGUUACCCCUUAUCUGUUUUUCAUGACGACCAAUAAAAAAGGACAGUGUUACCCCUUAUGUUUUUUUUCAUGACGACCAAUAAAAAACUACAGUGUUACCCCUUAAGUUUUUUUUCAUGACGACCAAUAAAAAACGACAGUGUUACCCCUUAUGUUUUUUUCAUGACGAUCAAAGAAAAACGACACUGUCACCCCUCAUGUUUCAUUUGGUAAAAACGACAGUGUUACCACCUAUGUUUUAUUCGAUACAUUUCGACAGUGUUAUCCCUUAUGGGUUUUUCAUGACGACAGAUAAAAAAACGACAGUGUUACCCUUUACGUUUCAUUUGAUAAAAACGACAGUGAUACCCCUUAUAUUAUUUUCCCAUGAUGACUGAUGAAAAACAACAGUGUUACCCCUUAUGUUUUUUUCAUGACGACCAAAAAAAACCAACAUGUUACCCCUUAUGGGUUUUUCAUGACGACAGAAGAAAAACGACAGUGUUACCCUUUACGUUUCAUUUGAUAAAAACGACAGUGUUACCCCUUAUGUUUAUUUGACAUGGACAAUCUUUUUUUCAUGAUGACCAAUAAAAAACAACAGUGGUACCCCUGUCGACGCUUUUGCGGGGAUCCAAACCUGAGCUGUU